AUGAACGCUGGCGGCGUGCCUAAUACAUGCCAGUCGAGCGAACGGACGAGAAGCUUGCUUCUCUGAUGUUAGCGGCGGACGGGUGAGUAACACGUGGAUAACCUACCUAUAAGACUGGGAUAACUUCGGGAAACCGGAGCUAAUACCGGAUGAUAUUUUGAACCGCAUGGUUCAAAAGUGAAAGACGGUCUUGCUGUCACUUAUAGAUGGAUCCGCGCUGCAUUAGCUAGUUGGUAAGGUAACGGCUUACCAAGGAAACGAUGCAUAGCCGACCUGAGAGGGUGAUCGGCCACACUGGAACUGAGACACGGUCCAGACUCCUACGGGAGGCAGCAGUAGGGAAUCUUCCGCAAUGGGCGAAAGCCUGACGGAGCAACGCCGCGUGAGUGAUGAAGGUCUUCGGAUCGUAAAACUCUGUUAUUAGGGAAGAACAUAUGUGUAAGUAACUGUGCACAUCUUGACGGUACCUAAUCAGAAAGCCACGGCUAACUACGUG
rnacentral:rRNA from 1 species